rnacentral:rRNA from 1 species
AGCUUUUCAGUAGUUUACUACAGAAAAUGACUGAGCGGCGAACGGGUGAGUAACGCGUGAGCAACCUACCUUAGUUACUGGGAUAGCCCGAGGAAACUCGGAUUAAUACCGGAUAUUCUUAUUUAAUCACAUGAUUUUUUAAGGAAAGGUCAGCCGAACUAAGAUGGGCUCGCGUUCUAUCAGCUAGUUGGUAGGGUAAUGGCCUACCAAGGCUACGACGGAUAGCUGGUCUGAGAGGACGAUCAGCCACACUGGGACUGAGACACGGCCCAGACUCCUACGGGAGGCUGCAGCAGGGAAUAUUGCGCAAUGAGCGAAAGCUUGACGCAGCGACACCGCGUGUGGGAUGACGGAUCUAGGUUUGUAAACCACUUUCAGGAGGGAAGAAAAUGACGGUACUUCCACAAGAAGCCCCGGCCAACUACGUGCCAGCAGCCGCGGUAAUACGUAGGGGGCGAGCGUUGUCCGGAUUUAUUGGGCGUAAAGAGCUCGUAGGCGGUUCAACAAGUCGGUCGUGAAAGUUCAGGGCUCAACCCUGAAAUGUCGAUCGAUACUGUUGUGACUAGGAUACGGUAGAGGUGAGUGGAAUUCCGAGUGUAGCGGUGAAAUGCGUAGAUAUUCGGAGGAACACCAAUUGCGAAGGCAGCUCACUGGGCCGCUAUCGACGCUGAGGAGCGAAAGCUAGGGGAGCAAACAGGAUUAGAUACCCUGGUAGUCCUAGCUGUAAACGAUGGAUACUAGACGUAGGAAUUGGUUUAACGAUUUCUGUGUCGUAGCUAACGCGUUAAGUAUCCCGCCUGGGGAGUACGGUCGCAAGACUAAAACUCAAAGGAAUUGACGGGACCCCGCACAAGCGGCGGAGCAUGCGGCUUAAUUCGAUGAUACCCGUAGAACCUUACCUGGACUUGACAUAUAGGGAAAAGUUAUAGAAAUAUAAUGUGCAUUAGCGCCCUAUACAGGUGGUGCAUGGCUGUCGUCAGCUCG